UACGUAGGUGACAAGCGUUAUCCGGAAUUACUGGGCGUAAAGCGCACGCAGGCGGCCGAGUAAGUCUGACGUGAAAUCUCCCGGCUUAACCGGGAGCGGUCGUGGAAACUACUUGGCUUGAGGCGAUGAGAGGGGUGUGGAAUUCCCGGUGUAGUGGUGGAAUGCGUAGAUAUCGGGAGGAACAUCAGUGGCGAAAAGCGGCACCCUGGGCAUUAGCC
rnacentral:rRNA from 1 species